GAUGAACGCUAGCGGCAGGCUUAAUACGUGCAAGUCGAGGGACAGCACAGGUAGCAAUACUGGGUGGUAACCGGCAAACGGGUGCGGAACACGUACACAACCUUCCUUUAAGUGGGGGAUAGCCCAGAGAAAUUUGGAUUAAUACCCCGUAAUAUAGUUGAAUGGCAUCAUUUGAUUAUUAUAGCUACGGCGCUUAAUGAUGGGUGUGCGGCUGAUUAGAUAGUUGGCGGGGUAACGGCCCACCAAGUCUACGAUCAGUAGCUGAUGUGAGAGCAUGAUCAGCCACACGGGCACUGAGACACGGGCCCGACUCCUACGGGAGGCAGCAGUAAGGAAUAUUGGUCAAUGGACGCAAGUCUGAACCAGCCAUGCCGCGUGAAGGAUUAAGGUCCUCUGGAUUGUAAGCUUCUUUUAUUUGGGACGAAAAAGGGCCUUUCUAGGUCAACUGACGGUACCAGAUGAAUAAGCACCGGCUAACUCCGUGCCAGCCGCCGCGGUAAGAC
rnacentral:rRNA from 1 species